rnacentral:rRNA from 1 species
AGCAGUAGCCGCGGUAAUACGUAGGUGGCAAGCGUUGUCCGGAAUUAUUGGGCGUAAAGGGCUCGCAGGCGGUUUCUUAAGUCUGAUGUGAAAGCCCCCGGCUCAACCGGGGAGGGUCAUUGGAAACUGGGAAACUUGAGUGCAGAAGAGGAGAGUGGAAUUCCACGUGUAGCGGUGAAAUGCGUAGAGAUGUGGAGGAACACCAGUGGCGAAGGCGACUCUCUGGUCUGUAACUGACGCUGAGGAGCGAAAGCGUGGGGAGCGUACAGGAUUAGAUACCCGGGUAGUCCCUGUCUCUUAUAC